rnacentral:lncRNA from 1 species
AGGGACAGUGAUUUCACCACCGCCCUGGGCAGCCUGUUCCAGUGCAUCACCACUCCUUUGGAGAAGCAAUUUUUUUUCCGGAAUCCAACCUGAACUUCCUCUGGCUCAACUUAAAACCGUUACCUUUUGCCUUCUUGCUUGUUACCUGGGAGAAGAGUCCAAUCCCCACCUCACUAUAGCCUCCAAUCAGGUACAGAGUGAUGAGGUCUCCCCUCAGACUCCUCCUCUUCACAAUGAAUGAUCCCAGAUCCCUCAGCUGCUCCCUGUAAGUCUUGUGCUUCAGACCCUUCACCAGCUUCAUUGUCUUUGUUUAAACAUGCUCCAGGGCCUCCGGAGACAAAGGGAGAACACAUACGGGUUUUCUCUUCUCAGCCAGCUCGCUGCAGCUGAAGAAAAGCCAAGGGUCAAGGAGAAGCAGAUACAAGGUUCUCUCAACCGAGCAACCUGAUCAUGAAAUUGUGUGGGCUCUGUACAAGACACGGAACUCUGCCACCUCUUCCAGCCCUGGCUGCAUUCAGCCCAACACCAUGCUGCUCAGAUCGCAGUGCAGAAGGACCAGAAGAGGAACUAGGCUGGUAGACUCCAUCCCCUCGUCUGGGAGCUUCAGUAACCAGCUGGAGAAGCAAGUUGAGUUGAGUAUUUGGAAAUGGUUCUUCCCCAAGAAAACUGGAACAGGAUUCCCAGGGAAGUGGUUCUACUACUGUUGGGUUCACAGGUUAUGAAUUACUGUUUGCAAAAGCCCAAGGCCAUUUUGCAGAAAUUAGAGAAUAAGACUGAGGUUCAGCACCUGAAGAAUUACCAACUGUUAAGGACAGGCUGCUGUUUC